AACGAACGUUGGCGGCGUGGAUUAGGCAUGCAAGUCGAACGCGAAUCCCUGGGCAACUGGGGCGGAGAGUGGCGAAAGGGGCAGUAAGGCGUGGGUAACCUACCCUCCGGGCCGGGAUAGCUUCGGGAAACUGAAGGUAAUACCGGGCGACGCAGCGAGAUCGCAUGGUCUUGCUGCCAAAGGUCCGCCGCCGGGGGAGGGGCUCACGUGGUAUUAGCUAGACGGCGGGGUAACGGCCCACCGUGGCAAAGAUGCCUAGCAGGUGUGAGAGCACGACCUGCGCCACUGGCACUGAGACACUGGCCAGACACCUACGGGUGGCUGCAGUCGAGGAUCUUCGGCAAUGGGCGCAAGCCUGACCGAGCGACGCCGCGUGUGCGAUGAAGGCCUUCGGGCUGUAAAGCACUGUCGAGGGGGAGGAAGCCGCAAGGUUGACCUAUCCCUGGAGGAAGCACGGGCUAAGUUCGUG
rnacentral:rRNA from 1 species